rnacentral:misc_RNA from 1 species
AUUUUUCAUGUAGUAAAUUUUUGGCUAAAAGCAUUUUAUGGAAAUUUUAUUGCAAAUAAUAAUUGUAUAAAAAUAUAUCAUCUAUAAAUAACAAAAAAAAGGAACAAAAUUCAUCAUUUAACUACUAAACGAAAGGAAAACUACGCACAAUAAACCACAAACCUACCACAACGUAUCAAUUUCCCAUCAAAAAAAGAAACAAAAAUAUCUAUAAGAGAAAAAACAGAAAAUAUUUCUAAAACACUUUUCCAAAAAGAACUUGAAACAGUUUGACACAUAUAUUGCAACAACCCGAAAACCCAACCAAAUAACAACCACAUACAACAACAACAACAGCAGCAGCACAAUGCGUCGUUCAUCAUUUACACCAGUUUUCAAUAUCAGCACACAAGAGCCACUUAUUGUGGUUGAAGAAUCUCAAACAACAGAUGAUAGCGACGAUGUACAGGGAGCUGUUGGUGGUGUCGGCAGCGGUGGUGCCGAGGGUGGUUAUGCACGAACAAACAGUGAUGACUCAGAUCCAGAAUCACCAAAAAAUCCAUAUCUUUUGUGUCCACUACCCGAUAUGCAACAACGUCGCAAACACUCAUUGCCAUCAUUGCAAAUAACGGAGGGUAUAACGGCCAGUCAAGUGCGUCGCUUAUCUGAAGUGGGCGGUGAAACAGGUGGCUUGAGUCCACAUGAAGUGGAAUUCUUGGCAACACUAUCACAGAAAACAAAUCCAGGUGGUGGUGGCCGAAGGCAUUCAGUGGUAACAAUAUCAGCAGUACCACCCACACUAUUUGGUCGUAAUCGUCGAGAAUCUAUAUCGGGGGCAGGGUAUAGUGGCAGUCGUCGAGGUAGUGGCAUACAAGGACCACCACUAACUGAGCAUCGAGGUAGCAUACAUAAUUUACAACUGGACAUAAUGGAUGGCAUUGCACAAGCUCGUAAAACACGUUCGGGCAGUGGCGUUUGGCAGGCACCCAUACUGAAAGAAACCGAAAGCAAUGUACCAGUUCAAACAUAAAUUACUUUUUAUGUAACAUGGAUUUUUUUUUCAUUUUUUGUUGGAUUUGUUUUUCUUCGUUUAUUUGUAUAGUCAAGUGUACUACUUUCGAUUUUAUUUUAUUUUAUUUUAUUUUAUACAAUUUAAUUUAGAACAAUAAGGAGAAAAAAAUAGAAAUGUGUAAAAACCAAACAGCAGAAUAACAAAGCAACUGUGGCUCUGAGCUCAUAAAUGAAUCAACAGUUUGUGCAAAAAUAAACCAACAAAUCAAUACGAAACUUUAAUGUAUUAAAAAAUACCUUUAUACUAUUUUUAUUUUCAAUUGCAAAAAAAAGUAAAAGAAAAACUAUUUUUUAAUUUAAAACUAAGUUUUUUUAGUGCUAUGAAAUGUUUGUGCCAAAAAAUAUAGACAAACCACACGAAUAUUUAAAACAAAUAUUUAGUAUGCGUUUUAAAUACAAUUCCAUUUUUACUUAAACAUUUAAAUUAUUUAAAUGGAAGCGGAAAAUAAUUGUGUGUGUGUACGUGUAUUAUGCUCAGAAGUUUAUCUCUUUUUCUCUCACUCUCUCUUAUGUUCAACAUUAAUUAUGGACAUUUUAAUAUUUUUCGAAACGGAAGUGCUUAAAACCACAAAAAAAAA